ACCAGGUUCAAGCGGAAGAAGAAAAUCUGGAUCAGCUGCGCUUUGGCAAACGCCAAAACGAGGAUGCCUGGCAGGACAGAAGUUUCCGGCGUUUGGACCGGAGGUGUAGAGGCGACAGCAUUUGGACCCAGGGUUCAACCAGUCUAUGAAGUCAUCCACCCACGAGUUGGCGGGAAUAGCUAUGUAGGAUCUGCGGUGAACGGACAGAGGUGAAAGGUCGAACUCAAAAAGACUAAAUAAAACAGUCAAGUUUCGAAAAAUAGCCGUGCCGACUGACGGAGAUGAUCUCCACGCUUACCGGCACCCCUGGUCAAGGUGGUCGUGGACGAAGCGGCUCCAACUGACCUUUGGCAUCGCCAGCUCCUGGUCCAGACCCACUUUCACGUUCAGCAUGAGGAA